GGCCCCUUGGUCAAGCGGUUAAGACACCUCCCUUUCACGGAGGUAACACGAGUUCGAAUCUCGUAGGGGUCACCA
rnacentral:tRNA from 1 species